CGUAGCCACGGGAAUACGGAGGGUGCAAGCGUUAUCCGGAUUUAUUGGGUUUAAAGGGUCCGUAGGCGGACUUAUAAGUCAGUGGUGAAAGCCUGUCGCUUAACGAUAGAACUGCCAUUGAUACUGUAAGUCUUGAGUAUAUUUGAGGUAGCUGGAAUAAGUAGUGUAGCGGUGAAAUGCAUAGAUAUUACUUAGAACACCAAUUGCGAAGGCAGGUUACCAAGAUAUAACUGACGCUGAGGGACGAAAGCGUGGGUAGCGAACAGGAUUAGAUACCCGCGUAGUCCCUGUCUCUUAUACA
rnacentral:rRNA from 1 species